GGAUUCUUGACUGCAAUCGCGGCUUCUUCACCAUCCGCAUGAAUGACCCGUCUAACAAAAUCUUCUACUUCCUCUGAUCCCAGACAGAAUCUCACUAUGUC